UAAGGUGAUUAGAAGGAAAGGAAAGGGAGAAAAGGAAGGAAGGGAAAGAAUGGGGGAGUAAAAUGUAUGGGGUGGUGGUGAGGAGAAAUGAAAAGGGAGAAAGAGAUAAUGGAUGGAGGAAAAGGGGAAAAGAUUUGUAGGUGGGAGGUUAAAGAAGGAAAAGGAAGGGAAAGGAAAGGGAAAAAAAGGAAGGAGGAGAAAAGAUAUAUAUGGUGAUGGUUUUAAGAAGUGGGAAAAGAUAUGAAAGUGGGAGGUUAGAAAAGGAAAAGGAAGGGAAAGGAAAGGGAAAAAAAGGGAGGAGGAGAAAAGAUAUAUAUGGUGAUGGUUUUAAGAAAUGGGAAAAGAUAUGAAAGUGGGAGGUUAGAAAAGGAAAAGGAAGGGAAAGGAAAGGGAAAAAAAGGGAGGAGGAGAAAAGAUAUAUAUGGUGAUGGUUUUAAGAAAUGAGGAACAAGGGGAGAGUAAGAACGGAGGCACUAUGAAAAGUAUUAAAGGGUAAGGAGACGAAAAGAUAGAAAGAAAAAAAACAAAAACAAAAGGAGGCAGAAAAGGAAAG